rnacentral:rRNA from 1 species
AUUGAACGCUAGCGGGAUGCUUACACAUGCAAGUCGAACGAGUGGCGGACGGGUGAGUAAUAUAUGGGAACGUGCCCAGUAGAGGGGGAUAACUACGCGAAACUGUGCUAUACCGCAUACUAUAGGAGCGGCCGAUAUGGGAUUAGCUAGUUGGUGGGGUAAAGGCUCACCAAGGCAACGAUCCCUAGCUGGUUUGAGAGGACGACCAGCCACACUGGGACUGAGACACGGCCCAGACUCCUACGGGAGGCAGCAGUGGGGAAUUUUGGACAAUGGGGGAAACCCUGAUCCAGCCAUCCCGCGUGUAUGAUGAAGGCUUCGGGUUGUAAAGUACUUUUGGCAGAGAAGCGGUAUCUGCAGAAUAAGCACCGGCUAACUACGUGCCAGCAGCCGCGGUAAUAC